rnacentral:sRNA from 1 species
GCUGGGCGCGGUGGCACACGCCUGUAAUCCCAGGGCUCAGGAGGCUGAGGCAGGAGGAUCGUGAGUUCUAAGCCAGCCUCAGCAAAAGUGAGGUGCUAAGCAACCCAGUGAGACCCUGUCUCUA